CACGUACGGCUUGCUGUGGUUGGCAUUGCACCGUGGCAUUUUCUGGGUGUGUUGACAGUUAGCCAUGCUGUCCUGGAAUAUCGUCGAGCACGUUUUGCCAUAAAGACGCCCUGUCGGCAUGCCAUUCGAUACCCUCAAGACGGCGUGGGUGUGAUGCUCUGAAAAGGAUGAAUGCAGAAAACAAAGUUUCUUAUGCCAUCUACAGCAUUUCAUGCAUCAUCCGCAAAGACACUGAAGAAAAGCCAUGAAGCGCCGGUUGCUCAUCAAAACGACAACCAGCCACCCAUGUCACCAGCCAAAGUGGUGUUGCAGACGAUGCUUAUCAGUGCGGGACCUCCUUCUGCUCCUCUGUACCUUCGUGGUGUUAUCCGUGUACAUGACUUACUACCUGGGAAACUUCUACGCU